CUAUCUGUUCUUUCACUUACACACUCUCACUAUCUCUCUCCCCCCUCUCUCUCUCUGUGUUUCUCUCACACAACAUCUCUGUGUUUCAAUCGUAGAAUCUUCUCUUUAUAUACACAGGUAGAAGAUAUAAAACUCUAAGUUCUUACUACAUAUUGGAUUUUUUCCCUCUUCAAGACGACAUUUUUUGUGAGUCUUUCCGCUUUUUGAAACUACCAUUUUCUUCAUUUGGUAA
rnacentral:lncRNA from 1 species